UCAACUUUUCAUCCAAAUUCUGCACAAACCUUGCAUUGUUCUUCAUUGAUUCACCAUCCACAAGCAUUUCUGAAGAAGAUUGAAGCAAGAAUCCAUCAUUUUCGUGCACAUUUUGGAACUGUAUCAAGUUGCAUCAUCCAUGGCAGUUGCGGAUUUGAGCUACAUCAAGGACAAUUGAGCCUCGAUUCUUCAUUCAUUCACUCACAUAAGCAUUGAAGAACCCCUGUUUGGACCUUACAGGACUUGAAACAAGCAAACUCACUUCUGCACUUCAAUUCAGGUCAGGAAUCGAUCCUCACAAUUCAUGAAAUCGUGAUAUGCUUUUGAUAGAUCUUUGAAUGUAGAGUAGUCUGAGCUUGGUAGCAUUGAAUUUCAUCAAGAAACAAGGAAGUUAUUGUGAUUUAAAGUUUGGCAUGUGAAUCUUAUCUUGCUCGAUCCAGGCGUUUUAGUGAGAGUUAGGGUAAAUCGAGUUUAGAUUAGUGAUUUGCGUGCUAAGACGAGUCUAGUGGUAUAUCCAUUUUGCGUUUCUGGAACAUUUGUUCAUAAUCUGGAAAAUUGUUGAAGAACAUGAAGAACAUUAGGGUUUGCGUUUCCAGAAGAUGAUUUGAUUUUGUUUGAGCGUUAUUUGCAUGGAUUUCUUGUUUAUGCUCAUGUAGUGGUCCACUUGUAUCCAACGUGUCCAUUUGAUUGGUCCAGGCGCGCUCAAAUUGCCAUGUAGACUUAAGUGAAACGCAGAGUUUCACUUAAGUAGCGCUCAAUUUGAAUCCUAACGUAGUUCGAUCCUCCGCUGGAGCAAUUUCACAUAAGCGCUUUGCAUUUUAUUCUUUAUGCCAUGCCAUUCAUAUACCAUGCUUCCAUGUGAUUUUUAUUUUUUUUCUCCAUUUCAAAAAUUCAUAAGUCCAUCAAUAGUUAUCCAAUUGAGAUGAGAUUUUUUGCAUGAUGUUCCUCAUGAUGUCUACUAUUUUUUGAUGAUUUUUCCAGAAUUUUUGCACGCAUGGAUUUUAAUUUUGGCUAGGGAUUGUGUAUACAUGUGUUUUCUUGACAUGCCUUGCCAUUUUGAUUGUGAAAUGAUGAGAUUUGUUCCAACACUCUUGAAAUUUUGCAUGCUUAAAAUAGAUAUUCUAAUGGUCAUUUUGGUAUAGAAUCUGCAUUUUUCCUAUUCAUGGUUGAUGAGAUAUGAUCUGUGGAAUGUAGGUGUGACAAUGUGUGUCACACCCUUGCUUGCUCGACUUGAGGAAUUUAUUUUCCAUGCCAAUUCAAUGCCAAUUAAUCUGAUUUUUUGCAUGAUGAUACUUCUGGAUGUUAGGAUUGCUUGUGCAUUUUUGUGGAAUUUUUGAGUGCAUUUCCAAUUUGUUUGAGAUUUUCUUUGCUGAUCGGUCAUGUUGGGACUUUGCGGGAGUCAUGAACUUAGAUGAUUUGUGAAAUGCUUGAUGUUUAUCCUAUGAGCUUGAAAUUUUGCACAUUAAUUAUAGACUCUUUGAAGUUUGUCAUGGCUUUGGUUUGAGACAUUUAUCAUGUACGGAUUCUGUUUUAUGCUUGUGUGAAGUUGAUGCAUCUAUUUGUGCCCUAAUAGAGCUUGUUUGUGUAUACCUGGACUUAUGGAAUUUAUUUGCCAUGCUUCCACUUGUCCAAAUGCCUUGAAUUUUGGUGUGAUGAUCAUUUGAUGUGUGCUGUUUAUCCAUGAUUUUUCUUGAGAUUUAUUGAGUCCUUUUUGAAUUGAUGUGGAUUGAUUCAUUCUGUUUGCUUCAAUGAGCUUUGAACUUGCAUGCCUUGCCAUGUUUGCAUUAUGAAAUGAAAUUGGUUGAUGCUAUUGAUAUGAGACCACUUGAAUAUUGUUAUUUAUUGGUUUAAUUUGAUUCAUGUCAAUUUUCAUGUUCUGUUUUGAAUUAUUUCUCCCUCUUUGACCCUAGGCCAUGUCUUAGUGGUUAGUGCUUAUGUUUGAGUUGUGUUUUCAGGACAAGAAGCAUAUGGCCUUGAGGAGUGUGAUUCAAUUGCUCAUUUGGAUUGAUAUUUGAUUGAUGUUGAUUAACAUUAAGUUGUUUUGUAGGUGGAUUAGCUCCUUCGAGUUGAGCUUGUGCUUUGCCUGAUGCAUUGCUUGUUGUUUGAUUAUACAGUUAACUGUUGACUUUUAGUCUGUCUGUUUGACUUUUUGAGUUGUGUAUUGACUGAGUUAGAUUGUUUUCAGGUACAUUAGUUGCUAUAGUUCAUUGUGAACUUGCUUUUGCUUUGCUUGAUAGCUUGAGAAUUGAGGUAUAAUGUCUCUAACUCCAUGUACUCUGGAAGACAUGGCCUGUUACUUGGUCAGGCACCUGUCUGAAGCCCUCCUUAAGAGGCAAUGCUUGUGUAUGUUUAUCUUUGUGCCAAGCAGGAAAAGACCUUUGAUAAGGCAAUUGGAAGAUACAAGAGAUGUGCAACCCAAGAUCUCUAUUGAGUCAGUCAUAAGUGUAGAAGGGUUCCCACUUUCUGAACCCACACUUUUCUUUGUCUGAAGCUCUCCC
rnacentral:lncRNA from 1 species